GUUUGUCUUCAUGUUCUUCAUCAUCUUGAAUUGUUGAAUCUUUUAGAUUGAUCUCCUUUAUCCCUUCUAUAAGAGGAUCUGCAUCAUCAAAACCUUCAUUCUUUCUUGAAGGAAGAUCGUUAGUUUCAUCAAAGACAACAUGUAUUGACUCCUCUACUACUAAGGUUCUUUUGUUGAAAACUCUAAAGGCUUUACUAGAAGAGGAGUAACCAAGAAAAAUUACUUCAUCAGAUUUUGCAUCAAAAUUU
rnacentral:lncRNA from 1 species